rnacentral:rRNA from 1 species
AUUGAACGCUGGCGGCAGGCCUAACACAUGCAAGUCGAGCGGAGCGGCGGACGGGUGAGUAAUGCCUAGGAAUCUGCCUGGGAGUGGGGGAUAACGUCCGGAAACGGGAGCUAAUACCGCAUCCUAUCAGAUGAGCCUAGGGGGGAUUAGCUAGAUGGUGGGGUAAAGGCUUACCAAGGAGACGAUCCGUAACUGGUCUGAGAGGAUGAUCAGUCACACUGGAACUGAGACACGGUCCAGACUCCUACGGGAGGCAGCAGUGGGGAAUAUUGGACAAUGGGCGAAAGUCUGAUCCAGCCAUGCCGCGUGUGGGAAGAAGGUCUUCGGAUUGUAAAGCACUUUAAGUUGGGAGGCGUUACCAACAGAAUAAGCACCGGCUAACUACGUGCCAGCAGCCGCGGUAAUUC